rnacentral:rRNA from 1 species
UACGAGGGGGGCUAGCGUUGCUCGGAAUCACUGGGCGUAAAGGGCGCGUAGGCGGACUUUUAAGUCGGAGGUGAAAGCCCAGGGCUCAACCCUGGAAUUGCCUUCGAUACUGGGAGUCUUGAGUUCGGAAGAGGUUGGUGGAACUGCGAGUGUAGAGGUGAAAUUCGUAGAUAUUCGCAAGAACACCAGUGGCGAAGGCGGCCAACUGGUCCGAUACUGACGCUGAGGCGCGAAAGCGUGGGGAGCAAACAGG